GAUGAACGCUGGCGGCGUGCCUAAUACAUGCAAGUCGAGCGAACAGAUGAGGAGCUUGCUCCUCUGACGUUAGCGGCGGACGGGUGAGUAACACGUGGAUAACCUACCUAUAAGACUGGGAUAACUUCGGGAAACCGGAGCUAAUACCGGAUAAUAUAUUGAACCGCAUGGUUCAAUAGUGAAAGACGGUUUUGCUGUCACUUAUAGAUGGAUCCGCGCCGCAUUAGCUAGUUGGUAAGGUAACGGCUUACCAAGGCAACGAUGCGUAGCCGACCUGAGCGGGUGAUCGGCCACACUGGAACUGAGACACGGCCCAGACUCCUACGGGAGGCAGCAGUAGGGAAUCUUCCGCAAUGGGCGAAAGCCUGACGGAGCAACGCCGCGUGAGUGAUGAAGGUCUUCGGCUCGUAAAACUCUGUUAUUAGGGAAGAACAAAUGUGUAAGUAACUAUGCACGUCUUGACGGUACCUAAUCAGAAAGCCACGGCUAACUACGUG
rnacentral:rRNA from 1 species